rnacentral:rRNA from 3 species
GCGACCCCAGGAUGGGCGAGGCCACCCGCCGAGUUUAAGCAUAUCAAUAAGCGGAGGA